GAAAUGACUGCUAAUACCGCAUAUGCCAUAAUAAUCACAUGAUUAAAGUGGGAAAGGAGUAAUCCGCUUAUAGAUGGGCUUACGCCUGAUUAGCUAGUUGGUGGGGUAACGGCCUACCAAGGCGACGAUCAGUAGCCGAACUGAGAGGUUAAACGGCCACAUUGGGACUGAGAUACGGCCCAGACUCCUACGGGAGGCAGCAGUCGGGAAUAUUGCGCAAUGGAGGAAACUCUGACGCAGUGACGCCGCGUGCAGGAAGAAGGUUUUCGGAUUGUAAACUGCUUUAGACAGGGAAGAUAAAAGACAGUACCUGUAGAAUAAGCUCCGGCUAACUACGUGCCAGCAGCCGCGGUAAUACGUAGGGAGCAAGCGUUAUCCGGAUUUAUUGGGUGUAAAGGGUGCGUAGACGGGAAAUUAAGUUAGUUGUGAAAUCCCAUGGCUCAACUGUGGAACUGCAACUAAAACUGAUUUUCUUGAGUACUGGAGAGGAAAGUGGAAUUCCUAGUGUAGCGGUGAAAUGCGUAGAUAUUAGGAGGAACACCAGUGGCGAAGGCGACUUUCUGGACAGAAACUGACGUUGAGGCACGGAAGUGUGGGGAGCAAACAGGAUUGGAUACCCUGGUAGUCCACACCGUAAACGAUGAAUGCUAGGUGUAGGGUGUGAUGAACAUUCUGUGCC
rnacentral:rRNA from 1 species